rnacentral:rRNA from 1 species
UACGUAGGGUGCGAGCGUUAAUCGGAAUUACUGGGCGUAAAGCGUGCGCAGGCGGUUCGUUGUGUCGGUGGUGAAAUCCCCGGGCUUAACCUGGGAAUGGCCAUGGAAACUGGCGAACUGGAGUGCGGCAGAGGGGGGUGGAAUUCCGCGUGUAGCAGUGAAAUGCAUAGAGAUGCGGAGGAACACCGAUGGCGAAGGCAGCCCCCUGGGCUAGCACUGACGCUCAGGCACGAAAGCGUGGGGAGCAAACAGG